rnacentral:rRNA from 1 species
AAUCAACGCUGGCGGCGUGCCUAACACAUGCAAGUCGAACGCGAAAGCCCCGCAAGGGGCAAGUAGAGUGGCAAACGGGUGAGUAACACGUGGGUGACCUGCCUUCGAGCGGGGGAUAACGUCCCGAAAGGGACGCUAAUACCGCAUAACAUCCUGCCUUUGAAGAGGUGGAGAUCAAAGCUGGGGAUCGCAAGACCCGGCACUUGAAGAGGGGCCCGCGUCUGAUUAGCUAGUUGGGGGGUAAUGGCCUACCAAGGCAACGAUCAGUAUCCGGCCUGAGAGGGCGGACGGACACACUGGGACUGAGACACGGCCCAGACUCCUACGGGAGGCAGCAGUGGGGAAUUGUUCGCAAUGGGCGCAAGCCUGACGACGCAACGCCGCGUGGAGGAUGAAGAUUUUCGGAUCGUAAACUCCUGUCGAAUGGGACGAACAGAUUACGGGUUAACAGCCUGUAGUCCUGACGGUACCGUUAAAGGAAACCCGGCUAACUCCGUGCCAGCAGCCGCUGUAAC